CACUGGGAUGACCUCAGCUGAAUGGAAGAGUGAGGUUGGGAAGUCAAGAUGUGUAGAAACAACUUUGACAUUUGGUCUCUGCUAUCCCUUACCUACCUCUAGCUGGAAUCACUUUGGAUUGAUUACUUCCUUGAAUUUCCCUAGAGAGGGCCCACCAGGCCCUUCACUGGAAAGAAGGUGAUGAAACUGAGGUUCAGAGAAGUUUACUGACUUGCCUAUGGGCAUAUGAAAGGCCAAGGAGAUGCCUGGAAUCUCAAAGGUUGUGAUGACCAAAUGAAUGGUUUGAGAGUUCUACCAACCUGGAAAGACUGCCAGUGCAGGCUCAAUGAUGAACUAUCCCUUGAAGACCAGCCAAGCGAGGUUCAGAAGUUCAUAAGCACAAAGUUGAAGGUCAAGGGAUUCUUUCUUUCUUCUUUUUUUGGUCACAACUUAGAAACUGUUCAUUAAAUCAUGGAGGAAUUAUGGCCUUUGCCAGCAGAGAGAAUGCUGUCUUUAAUGAGAUUCCCAAUUCCUUCAAAGUAUUCUGUAAUGGUGUUUGCUUUAUAUAGUUCUCAUGGUAAUGGCCAGACCUCAGACCUCAGGUGGGAAGGGAAACUGCUAUUCAUUUGCUUCCACUAUUCACCUGUCUCAGCAGGUGUUGGGGCCUUUGUGUUUUUCCUGGUUUUUCUCCUCCCACCCUGCCCAAUCCCCUAAUGAGCUAGGUGUGUGUCAUUGCUAUUCAGAGGCAAUCAACUCCUUUUGAGUGCUUUUGGACAAAGCUUAAGAGUUCCUUUGAUGAUCAGUGUUAGAGUGGGAGGGAGAGAAGGAUGCUAAUGGGCAACUAGCUUGUGGGGUCUUCCUCUCUGGACUUUGUGAUGUGAGGGACAACUGAAGGCCCCCAUGUCCUUUAGUGGCCUGCCAGAAUAUCUGAUUUUUCACCAGCAGAGCUUCAUUCCUUUGGCAAUAUGCUCUAUUUAAAAAAUGAGUCACCCCUCUGCCAGGAGAACAUGGUCCACAGUAACAGCAAUA